rnacentral:rRNA from 1 species
CCUACGGGGGGCAGCAGUGGGGAAUAUUGGACAAUGGGGGGAACCCUGAUCCAGCCAUGCCGCGUGUGUGAAGAAGGCCCUCGGGUUGUAAAGCACUUUCAGUGAGGAAGAACGCCUGGUGGUUAAUACCCAUCAGGAAAGACAUCACUCACAGAAGAAGCACCGGCUAACUCCGUGCCAGCAGCCGCGGUAAUACGGAGGGUGCGAGCGUUAAUCGGAAUUACUGGGCGUAAAGCGCGCGUAGGUGGCUUGAUAAGCCGGUUGUGAAAGCCCCGGGCUCAACCUGGGAACGGCAUCCGGAACUGUCAAGCUAGAGUGCAGGAGAGGAAGGUAGAAUUCCCGGUGUAGCGGUGAAAUGCGUAGAGAUCGGGAGGAAUACCAGUGGCGAAGGCGGCCUUCUGGACUGACACUGACACUGAGGUGCGAAAGCGUGGGUAGCAAACAGGAUUAGAUACACCAGUAGUC